AGACACUCCACUGCCUUGCAGCCUCCCUUAUUUGUUUGGAUUGUGACAACAUUAUUUACUUUAUCUAUAAAUAUCCCUCUGGCACAGGGAAUAAAUAAUGCACUGGAUGAUAUUUUCCAGAUGGUCUCAUAGUCCUGGGACAAAGCAGGAAGAGUCCAUUCCCUGCAUCUUGUUGUGAUUCUCAGGUUGAGACACAGCAUCCCUCAAAAUCCACAUCCUGCAAAAAACCUCUCAGGCACACAGAUUGGCUGUUAUUUUCUCUCUGGAGCCAGGGAAAGCAAAACUGUGCAGCGCUGAUGGAGGCUCCCGACUGCCGCAGCUCUCGGAGGAGCCGCCUGCAGUGGGCGAGCCCUGAGCAGCUUCAGGGAGAACACGGUCACUGCAGUGUCACAGGGCAGGCCACAGCCACGGGUCCCCUCAGCAGGAGCCUCCUGACCAGCCCGAAGGCUGCACCUGCUCCGGCCUCUUCAGCAGGGAAAACGAAGUACCUGUCUUCACUGUUUGCGCUUCCCAGUCACGGCAGUGGGAUUAAUCCCUAAUGCUACCCUGCUGCUGUAGGCAAAGGUGUUUUCCCUCCUCCUGUGGGCUGAAGCAGCCCUGCCUGCUGGCAGGUGAACACAGCAGUGUCUUACACACUGGCCAGGGCUGAGAGCCCCGCCGUGUUUACCGACUCCAUGGCUACUAUGGAAAACCGCUCUGGUUUCCCUGCCCGCUCCUCCUUCCUUAUCAGUCCAGGGGUGGCUAAGGAUGAAUGAUUAGAGGUAACGGCAAAUAUUACACCCGUGGUACUAAUUCUGCUUUUCAAAUGGAAAUCAAACAACAUUUAACCUGACACAAUGCCCGAGAAGGACGUUGGGGCUGUUGAAAGACCAUUAAGCUUUAAGGAGAGGAUGAGCUGCAGAAAAUGUUCCGUAACUAACUCAGCCACCCACAGCCUGGUGGAAACCCGGAAAACCUCAGUAAACAUCGGCAGUUCUGAGUGUGAACAAAAGAACUCUAUUUCACCGGUUAAAUACUCACUCUAAACUCGAUAAGUGCUGUGUGC